rnacentral:lncRNA from 1 species
GAACUUUUAAACUGCAGAGGAUUUAAGGAGUUAAGCACAAAAUGUCUCUGAGGAAGCCUUCCCUGAGUAUGAAUGGGUCUGGGUGUGGGUGUGUGAAUCAACCCUAACAAACUGAAAACAAUACCGGGUGAUUUCUAAAAAUUAGCAACUCUUUUCAGGCAUCACUGAAUAACCUCACAAAUGAUUUGCACUACUGCUAACAACACCUGCAUCUAGCUAAUCAGCUGACCAUGAGAUGCAGAGAUUAUCUGGAAUUAUCCAGAUUGGUCCAUUUAAUUACAUGAGUCCUUAAAAGUGGAAAGUGGAAGAAGAGGCAGAAGAGUGUGUCAGAGAGAUGCUGUGUGAAAAGGACUCAACCUGCCACUUGAGGCUUUGAGGCUGGAGAAAGGGGCCAUGAACCAAGGAUUGUGAGCAGCCUGUAAAAUCUGGAAAAGACAAGGCAAUACCCUUUGCUGUCUCAGGGUCAAACAUGCAACUCCUGCCUGCUUGUAUGGCCAGCUGGGUUCAAGAAGGAAGGAACCUCAUUGUUGACAGUUACCAGAUGAAUGUGCCCCUUCUGUACAGCUAAGAAAUGGAAUAGACAUUGGUAACCUUCCACAGGCCCACACAUGUGUUAUCAGCCAUACCUUAGGACAGAAGGAAUGAGUUUGCAGAAAGGAUGCCCUACAACCAUACUGAGAAUUUAGCCCUGGGGACAUCUUCCGAUAUAAUCUGGCAUAGAAGAGUGGUUAUCACACCUUUAGCAUGGAUAGAAAUGCAAAACAAUAUUUGUAAUAGUCUGUGCUCACGCUGCUAUAAGGACAUACCCAAGACUAGGAAAGAGCCACAGAUUUGCUUCUUCCUAGCAAGGGCGUGAUACUAAUUCCAGAUCCAUCCAAAUAUUGUUCACUGCUUCUUAGACAGAGACCCCUUUCUCCCAGGACCCUUGAGACACCUUUGCUGUGAAUAAUGGAGAAGCAAAAGGAGUUACUAAUGAAGACAAACUAAACCUGAGAACAGAGAGAGCCUAACUAUGUGCUCCAGAAGUGCCAUGUGUGUCUAAGGUAGGUCCAAAGGUAUGAGUCUAGAGAUAUUAUGUAUAAAACACCUAAUUGAAUGUCAAAAAAUCCAUAGAAGCUUAAUAAUUGGUAGCAAUUAUUAUUACUCAUUAGUGUGGGGGCUGGGAAGAUGACAACAGAGUAUAACUUGGAGGGUUGGUGUAGAGCAAUUAGCUAGCAACUGUAGUUUGAAUUUCCAUGAAGUAGUUCCCUUAAUUGUGUACACACAAACACAUCAAAACUGAAACCACAGCUAUGUGAUUUAAUAAUGUUGCACGUUUAGACAUGAUACAAGGCACUUUUGCCUACAUUAUCUUUCUGUGAGUUUAACAUUAGACCUGGUAUAAUUAUCCUAAAUUUACUACUAGAGAAUUUAGUUUGAAAAGUCAUGCAACUUUUCUAAAGAAUUUUUUCUGAUUUAAUAACACCAAUCAAUGAAUUAAUCAAUCAACUGUUCUGGCCAUUAAAUGUGUGAGAAAAAAAAGUCAGUGUAUUAAUUAUAAUUAUAUACCGAGACUUGGCUCUGUGUGUUUCACAAAAUAAGUAUAAAGUAUCAAAUUUGUUAUAAAUGUGUGACCCAUUAAAAGAAAAAAAAACUUGAUAGAUGUGUAUUUGGUAACAGCUUUUUAGAAAAUUUUUUGAACAUUUAUGAUGUUCAGAAAAGAACAGUGAUCAGUGUGCUAAAUUAAAUUACUUGAAUAAAUUAUGGAGAAAAAGUUCUGAUUUUUGUGCAAGGUUUGCAUUCUGGAUUGAGGUCCAGUUCUUUUUGAAGUAUCUGAAAUCAAACAUAUAUUUCCAAACCCUGAGGACUGAUUUCCUUCUGAAGACCACCCUCUCUUCUAUUUGAGGAACUCCAUAUUCCUUCUUGUAACACUACUCUGAUUCUAUAUCAAGCAAUCUUGGCCUUGUUAAGAUAAGAAAGUUGCCUUAAGCACUUUCCAAAGCUUUCCUACAUUCACUGUUGGUGGAUGGUGUCCCUACCCUACUUGUUCCCCUGCAGAACCUCAGAUUGGAGAUAUAAGGGGUGAAAUAACAGCCAAGUACCUCAGAGCUAAGUACUUUACAUAUAACUCAUUUAAUCCUCACAGCAUUGCUAUGGAACAAGUACUAUUAUUCAUCCCAGUUUACAGAUAGAAACUAAGGCAGAGAAAGGUUAAAUAAUCAAAGUUUACCUACUAGAUAACAGAGUGGGGGUAGAAACCAAGCCAUUCUGGCUUUUCCUGCUUGUAACACCAGGGUGGUAAAGGUGAAAAUUUGGGUUCAUUCUCACAGAGAAGAGGUUAUUAAGGCUCAGACUGGACAGAUAGCAUGGGAAUGAUGAGCAAGCAGGAAAUUUAAGAGUCAGAUCUUAGAAAAAUAUGACAAAGCCUAGAGACUGGCAACUGACAUGAUCUGAGAAAAGUGAGGAG